UAAUGAUGUUAAGGGCAAUUUCGGAGCAUAGCCUUGACUCUUUCCUAGGCUUGGUAAGGAUUCUCUCCUUUUUUUCUUAUUAAAACUCAAAAUCUCACUUCUCAAAUG
rfam:Capsicum annuum cultivar Zunla-1 chromosome 10, whole genome shotgun sequence